GAGUAAUUGUGAAAUAUUUUGUUGUUGAAGUUCUGACAAUCUCCAAAACUACAAGAUCUGGGUACCAUUGCUUCUACCCAAUUCAUUUGCACCAUCUCUGAAGGAGGUACUAGCUCAAGCUUUGUUCCAAAGUACAAAUUAGCAUAGUAGCUCAGUAAACAAUGUCUCUGAGCUUCUGGAAAGAAAGAUGUUCAGUCACCAUAAGGCUCAGAAUUAAUGAAAAGUCACAGAAAUAAUAGCUCUAUUCUCCAGUUGCUUUUGAACCUCAAAUCACUCUUUGGCAACAAGGCAUUGGCAACCCAUUGGAAGAAAAUGAAGUUUGAUGUUAAGCACCUGGCAGUUUCUAUCGUAGCUGGAAUGAACAGAAGGGUCCUUAAAUCACCUGAAAUACCAGUGAAACUAUAAACUGGAGGCCUAAUUAAGACCUGCUGUUUCCUGAAAUUUUGUGUGCAUAGCUCUGGGAAGGAAAGUUGCAUGGAACUUUACUUGAAGGGGUACAUGUAAUCUUAAGAGAAAAAUCCCAGCAUUCUAUUCACGUCUCUCAGACGUAGCCCUUACUUAAGAGCCAUGGGGAAUUUAUGUCCGUGGUAAACAUGAAAGCCUGCGAUGGAACUUGCUUAAGGAAAACUCAAAUCAGCUCAAACGUCAUGAGUUGAAGACUUCAGUUGUUCCUAACCAACAUUUCCAAAUGUUCUCUUUAACACCAUGAUGAAUCAUGCAAAUUUAGGGGUUUGGUUUUUUUUUUUUUUUUUUACAUUUUCUUACAUGUUUUCUUCCCAUUACUUUGCUAAGGAUGAAAGUCUAACAAGAGAGAGCAAAUCCACUUGCAAGAAAUAUAACACCACAAGAGUAUUUGGUGUAAAAGAUUUGACUUCCGAUGAAAUUACAAAAGGUCUAAACUGAACUGAUUUCUGACUGGUACCCGCAUCACCUACUUUAUUAGAAAAAUCUGCAUGUC